GCAGAAGCUGAAUAACACAAGAGAAUCAGUUAUCCCAAAGCUGUUUGCAGAAGCUGAAUAGCACAAGAGAAUCAAUGAUGCUAAAGAGAAAUGAUAAAAUAGAUAGUGUUGUUGGCCUAAUAUGGAAUGGUAUCUUGUACUUUGUUUGCAGAAGCUGAAUAGCACAAGAGAAUCAAUGAUGCUAAAGAGAAAUGAUAAAAUAGAUAGUGUUGUUGGCCUAAUAUGGAAUGGUAUCUUGUACUUGUGUUUGGGAAAGUGCUGUCAAAAACACAAUGUAACGGUAUCAUGGUCUAGUGCAUACUUGUGUUUGUGUUGUCUCUGCUGCUCCAAUGUUGAUGCAGUUGUUGUCGGUUUUUAACCUUAUUGCUCAACCUGCUGUUGUUGUUUCUGCUAUGAGUGGUGCGUUUGCAGCUGCUGUUUUGUUUGAGGUUUCCGACGGCUUUCUUGGUUUAUAUAGUUUAUGUUCAGCACGGCUUUUUCUUGCUGAGAGGCUGCUGUGUAGGCAUUGUUCUGCUCAUGUUUUUGACAGCUUCUGCGGCUUUAUUUGAGAUUGAUCGAUGUAUUAUUCCUAUUGAGCAGAAACAUUUGUCUGUCUUUUUGAUUUUCAGGGUGAUCCACCUAUAUAUGGCGCCCUUUAUAUUGUUAAUGUAAUUACAUAAUUGUAAUGUUUUUUUAGAAUAACUUUGUUGUAAUAUUUGAAUAUUUAAUAUAUUGAAGAAUG
rnacentral:lncRNA from 1 species